CAGGGAGACAACAAAAUGUUUAAUAUUAUUAUUUUGUCACCUUAGGUCGAUCGGUAUCUCACGUUCUUAAUUUGUUAAGAAUUUCAUUUCCUAAGUUUUUCUAGGUCACACCCAUUAUUUUUCCUGGGCCAUUAGCUCAGGUGGUUAGAGCGCACCCCUGAUAAGGGUGAGGUCCCUGGUUCAAGUCCAGGAUGGCCCAUAUCUCUAUGUUGGGGGUAUAGCUCAGUUGGUAGAGCGCCUGCUUUGCAAGCAGGAUGUCAGCGGUUCGAGUCCGCUUACCUCCACUGAUUACCACCUCUUCCAUAAUCGGUAGAAAGGAAAUGUUUUGAGUUGUGAUCAUUAUUCUGAACGAAUCUAGCUUCCUAAUGAAAUCAUUAAGAUGCUGGACUCAUUGAAUUAAUUUCAUUGUUUUCAGAGAACCUUGACAACUGCAUAGAUUAUUUUUAAAGACAAUAAGCAUCUUUAAUGAUGCAGAUUUAUUAUUUGUGCGAAUGCAUUAAUAACAAUUCUAUUAAGCUGAUGCUUCAA
rnacentral:tRNA from 1 species